GAGAACAGAGGACAUGCAUUAACAAAAGAUGUCUGUUCAGCACGGCUAAGUAAACAUGACUUUAUUUUUACACCGUGUACCAUGUGUAUACAGUUAAUUCCUAAGCUUUAAAAGCAUUAGCUCAUAGUGUGUAUUACACCCUUGUUGAAAAAGAAUUGUUUUACAUUAUGUUCUCAGUGCCUAGGCAAAGAUUAGGUCAGCUGCAAAGCUGCAUUUUAGUUUAUAGUUUGUUUUGCAGCAAGGUCAUUUUGGAAAGGUAUCAAAGUUCAGUUUUUAUGCAAAUAUAACAGGGGACACCAAGGCCCAACAUUUCAUGAGAGAUCACAAUCACACUUGAUUAUUCAGCACUCGUUCUGUUACAGAAGGUCUUUUACUAAACAUAUUUUAUGUUAAAAAUAUAAAACCAUAGUUUGAAAAGAAAUCACUGCUGCAGGUUUGAUAAGCAAGAAAUUUAGACAAACAAUACAUAGCCUAAUAACAACCAGCUGUGUCUCAUAUCAGGCCACUUGAUUGAAAAUUAGCACAGCAUAUGAAUAAAUUAUUCUUUAUUCAUUCAUCUCCUCAGGAACACUGGGCUUCACACACUCAUGUAUGUUUUUGGGAGGUGGGAGGGAACCUCAGAACCCAGAGGAAACCCACAUGGACAUGGGGAGAACAUGCAAAACUCCAUGCAGACAGUAACCUUAGCUCAGGUUCGAUACAGGGGCCAUGAAGCUGUGAGACGGCAACGUUACCCAUCAUGCCACCUAUUAAUAAGUUUUCACGUCAGUGUUGUUAAAGUAAAGACUUCACACCUAAAGAUAGCAGCUUUGAGGUUCAACUCACUCUUUGUCCUGCACCAUGUUCCUAUCCAGACGGGUGAUGGGAGGAUGUAGGUUUCCUGACACUUGACCAUGUUGAUCUCCAUGUGAGUGAACACAAAGCACACAGCAGGACAGCAGCA